rnacentral:rRNA from 1 species
GAUGAACGCUAGCGACAGGCCUAACACAUGCAAGUCGAGGGGCAACGGGCGGUAGCAAUACGCUGCCGGCGACCGGCGGAUGGGUGAGUAACGCGUAUGCAACCUGCCUUCAGCAGGGGGAGUAGCCCGUUGAAAGACGGAUUAAUACCCCAUAACACAGGGGCGUCCGCAUGGAGAUUAUUGUUAAAGGGAUGCUUCCUUCGGGGGUAGUUCCGGCUGAAGAUGGGCAUGCGUUCCAUUAGGUAGUUGGUUGAGGUAACGGCUCACCAAGCCUGCGAUGGAUAGGGGAACGUGAGAGGUUGGUCCCCCACCACUGGUACUGAGACACGGACCAGACUCCUACGGGAGGCAGCAGUGAGGAAUCUUGGUCAAUGGACGGAAGUCUGAACCAGCCAUGUCGCGUGAAGGAAGACGGCCUUAUGGGUUGUAAACUUCUUUACUAUGCGACUAAACUAGAUUUUACGAGAUAAUUCUAUAGAAUGUAGCAUAGCAAAAAGCACCGGCUAACUCCG